UGGGGAAUAUUGCACAAUGGACGAAAGUCUGACGGAGCAACGCCGCGUGAGUGAUGACGGUCUUCGGAUUGUAAAGCUCUGUUAAUCGGGACGAAUGGUUUGUGUGCAAAUAGUGCAUAGACAUGACGGUACCGGAAUAGAAAGCCACGGCUAACUACGUGCCAGCAGCCGCGGUAAUACGUAGGUGGCAAGCGUUGUCCGGAAUUAUUGGGCGUAAAGCGCGCGCAGGCGGACUAGCCAGUCAGUCUUAAAAGUUCGGGGCUUAACCCCGUGAUGGGAUUGAAACUACUAGUCUAGAGUAUCGGAGAGGAUAGUGUAAUUCCUAGUGUAGCGGUGAAAUGCGUAGAUAUUAGGAAGAACACCAGUGGCGAAGGCGACUUUCUGGACGAACACUGACGCUGAGGAGCGAAAGCAAGGGGAGCGAACGGG
rnacentral:rRNA from 1 species